AGCAGUCGCCGCGGUAAUACGAAGGGUGCAAGCGUUACUCGGAAUUACUGGGCGUAAAGCGUGCGUAGGUGGUGGUUUAAGUCCGUUGUGAAAGCCCUGGGCUCAACCUGGGAAUUGCAGUGGAUACUGGGUCACUAGAGUGUGGUAGAGGAUAGUGGAAUUUCCGGUGUAGCGGUGAAAUGCGUAGAGAUCUGGAGGAAUACCGAUGGCGAAGGCAGCCAUCUGGCCUAAUACUGACGCUGAGGUACGAAAGCAUGGGGAGCAAACAGGAUUAGAUACCCGUGUAGUCCCUGUCUCUUAUAC
rnacentral:rRNA from 1 species